rnacentral:rRNA from 1 species
UAAACUGGAGAGUUUGAUCCUGGCUCAGAACGAACGCUGGCGGCGUGCCUAACACAUGCAAGUCGAACGGAGAUCCGGAGCUUGCUCUGGUGAGAGUGGCGCACGGGUGAGUAACGCGUGGAUAA